GUUACCGCCGGACGGGAGGACUCGCGAGGGUUGGGGAACCCGAUGACCGAGCCCUUUCCGAGACGGCCGAGGGUCUAUAGGGAGCCCGAGGUCGGUCGCUCUGGCGAAGGAG
rnacentral:ncRNA from 1 species